rnacentral:rRNA from 1 species
AGAGCGAACGCUGGCGGCAGGCUUAACACAUGCAAGUCGAGCGGGCGUAGCAAUACGUCAGCGGCAGACGGGUGAGUAACGCGUGGGAACAUACCUUUUGGUUCGGAACAACACAGGGAAACUUGUGCUAAUACCGAAUAAGCCCUUACGGGGAAAGAUUUAUCGCCGAAAGAUUGGCCCGCGUCUGAUUAGCUUGUUGGUGAGGUAACGGCUCACCAAGGCGACGAUGACUAGGGGAGCUGAGAGGCUGGUCCCCCACACGGGCACUGAGAUACGGGCCCGACUCCUACGGGAGGCAGCAGUAGGGAAUAUUGGGCAAUGGACGAGAGUCUGACCCAGCCAUGCCGCGUGCAGGAUGAAGGCUUUCUGAGUCGUAAACUGCUUUUGACAGGGAAGAAUAAGGCUUACGUGUAGGCUGAUGACGGUACCUGCAGAAUAAGCACCGGCUAACGUCCGUGCCAGCAGCCGCGGUAA